rnacentral:lncRNA from 1 species
UUCUCUUUCUUCUUUUCUCCUAUUUCUUCUUUUCAUUUCAUCUUCGUACCAUGCUCUUUUUAUCCACUUCAUCCAGUUCCUCCAUCACUCUCUCCAUGACAGUCGCCGAUCUCAUCUCCCCAUCUUCUCUCACUAGUACGACAAGACAUGAUUUAUGCCAAACACCAGAAAUGUCUCGCUUUCCUGCUCCUGUUUUCUAUUGUGUGUAAGGGAUUUUGCUUAUCCGAGGUAAUUAGUCAGGGAUUUUGUUUCAACUUUUUCAAGUUAACUAAAAAUUUGUAGUUCCCUGAUUUUAUUAUGGUUUUGUAGUUUUUGUUCAAUUCAAUCUAUUUUUAUGACUAAUUUGCUAAUUAUCAAAUUUCUCAUACAUUGUUCUACUUAAACCACAUUUAUUUUAUCUAAUUUGUUAAUAUUUAGUGAUGUUUUUGGCAUCAAUUGUUGUUGAAAUUUUGUUAAUUCUUGUUUUCUCAUGUGAUGGACUGUUGUUCUGCAGUGAAGAGCACAGAAAGAAGAAGAGGAAAAGAGAAGCGGGGAAAGGGGAAAAGAGAAAGGUAGCACCGACAGAAAAAGGGGAAGAAAAGAAGAUGGGAAAAAGGAAAAAUCAUCAUUAUGUUUUCUUUAUUUUGUUGUAUAAACACUUUGUAUAAUGAGAUAUAUUGUUGAAGAACAUUACCAAUGGAAGCAUUUAUGUCACAUAUGAAUUUUAAUAUAUUUUUUAAAUGAGCAUGGGUGUCGGAUAAAAGAGCAUUUUUGUUUAUUUUUUAUUUUUAGUCAAAACAUAAAUUUGGUUUAUAUACAUUUUUUUUUUUAUUUUUUUUUAUUAUGUCGGUUAUAUGUGACAGCAUUGUCUUUAUAUCCGACGAGAUUUCUCAACAAUUAAUGUCGCCUACAAUCGAUAGGAGUAUGAAGGAAAUAUUUGUGAAAACUAGUUUAUUUGAGCAACAUCUAUGCAUGCUAUUAACAAUUAAAAGGCGGAAUCAUGCUUGUAUGCACUCAAAAACAAAACUUAACCCAUGAAAUUCAAAGCCUAGUAGUUAUGGUGAACCAAGACUCAACUCAAGAACAAAGUGAGUUAAGAAAUAUUACCUUUGUUGAUUCAUCUUUGCAUAAGCAAGGGCUAAUCACCCAAGAGAUAGGGCCUUCAUUUCUUACUUCUUAGCUCCAUGAAUUUCUUGGAUGAGGAUGGUAGAAUGAAUUCUCCAAGUUCCCAAAAUAGAGAACCUCUAAGUCUCCACACCAAGGAGAGACUAGAAUAAGAGAUGAGUAACCUUGGAGGAGGUAAGAUUGCUAGCUAAUCUCCUCCAAGGGGUUGGCCUCCUAGAGAGAAAGGGAGAGACUUGUUCUAUCCAAUUUCCUCUAAAAGAACCCUAAAUAAAUUUUGGCUAUAAAGUUCUUUAUAUAGUCACUUCACUUAAGUGACAAAAAGAACCAAAACCCUAUUUCAUCAAUAUGUCCGACCUUCUAUGGUCUUUGGGCUGUUUGGACCCUCUUGAAUCUUUAUUCAUUAAGUUGUCAUAAAACUUAAGUCAAUGGCCUUGACAUUCGAAGCCCAUUGGGCCUUGAGGCCCAAAACUAACCCGAGGUCUAAAACGAACUUAUUUGUUUGAUUAAUUAACAUAUUAAUUAAUCCUAGUCAUAAACAAUUAAACCAUUUAAUUGUUCUUACUCAACUCCGUUGUUUCUUCAAUCUCUACAUUACACGGUGUACAAUCCAUUAGGUUCCUUUUAGCGAGGCAGUGGGCAAUUAUUACUCUUAACGAUCGAUUGUCAAUUGAAACAACAUUUCGAUUCUCCCUUUGAUAAAGAUUACCAGGGCUUCUACAGACCAUGAGUGACACCUAGCAGUAUGUCAUGGCUACCCAAGCUAAUCAGAAGAGGUGGAGAACCUAUUCAAUUUAGGAUUACAAUGCAAUACAGUCUUUCUCUAAUACAAUACUCUUGACCAUAUUGUUUGGUUUGAUAGUUUAUUCAUGUCUACUAUCCAAUGUGAUUCUUUUACUUAUAUGAUUACCUUAAAUGUGAUUUGGAAUGACUUCCUAAAUCUCACUCAUACUCUGGCCAGAGAUUCUUAAUCAUAUCAUAGAGUAUUCUCCCUCAAACGGUUUG